rnacentral:rRNA from 1 species
UACGGAGGGUGCGAGCGUUGUCCGGAAUCAUUGGGCGUAAAGGGCGCGUAGGUGGCCACUUCAAGCGUGCGGUGAAAGUCGGGGGCUCAACCCCUGAUCGGCCGUGCGAACUGGGGGGCUGGAGCACUGUAGAGGCAGGCGGAAGUUCCGGGUGUGAGCGGUGGAAUGCGUAGAGAGUCCGGAAGAACGACCGGUGGCGAAGGCGGCCUGCUGGGCAGUUUUGCUGACACUGAGGCG